rnacentral:misc_RNA from 1 species
GCUGCGUGAGAGCCGAGCG